UACGAAGGGGGCGAGCGUUGUUCGGAAUCACUGGGCGUAAAGCGCACGUAGGCGGAUUUUUAAGUCAGGGGUGAAAUCCCGAGGCUCAACCUCGGAACUGCCUUUGAUACUGGAGAUCUUGAGUCCGGAAGAGGUAAGUGGAACUGCGAGUGUAGAGGUGAAAUUCGUAGAUAUUCGCAAGAACACCAGUGGCGAAGGCGGCUUACUGGUCCGGAACUGACGCUGAGGUGCGAAAGCGUGGGGAGCAAACAGG
rnacentral:rRNA from 1 species